rnacentral:rRNA from 1 species
UACAGAGGUCCCAAGCGUUGUUCGGAUUCAUUGGGCAUAAAGGGUGUGUAGGUGGCGCCGUAAGUCGGGUGUGAAAUUUCGGAGCUUAACUCCGAAACUGCAUUCGAUACUGCGGUGCUUGAGGACUGGAGAGGAGACUGGAAUUCAUGGUGUAGCAGUGAAAUGCGUAGAGAUCAUGAGGAAGACCCAGUGGCGAAGGCGGGUCUCUGGACAGUUCCUGACACUGAGACACGAAGGCCAGGGGGAGCAAACGGG